UCUUUUCCUUUUUUUCCCUCCUCCUCUUUCCUCCUUCUUCUUCGCGCGUUCUCCGGCUUUCUUGGGUUUCCCGGGCGCGCAGACGGGUCGUUAAGUCAGCUGUGAAAGUUUGGGGCUCAACCUUAAAAUUGCAGUUGAUACUGGCGUCCUUGAGUGCGGUUGAGGUGUGCGGAAUUCGUGGUGUAGCGGUGAAAUGCUUAGAUAUCACGAAGAACGCCGAGGGCGAAGGCAGCACACGAAGCCGGAAAGGAAGGGAAGGAGAGAAAGGGGGGGGAGAAAACAGG
rnacentral:rRNA from 1 species